CGACUCUCAGCAACGGAUAUCUUGGCUCUUGCAACGAUGAAGAACGCAGCGAAAUGCGAUACCUAGUGUGAAUUGCAGAAUUCC
rnacentral:rRNA from 1 species